rnacentral:rRNA from 1 species
GACGAACGCUGGCGGCGUGCUUAACACAUGCAAGUCGAACGGAAAGGCCCUGCUUGCAGGGUACUCGAGUGGCGAACGGGUGAGUAACACGUGGGUGAUCUGCCCUGCACUUCGGGAUAAGCCUGGGAAACUGGGUCUAAUACCGGAUAGGAGCCAUUUUUAGUGUGAUGGUUGGAAAGUUUUUUCGGUGUAGGAUGAGCUCGCGGCCUAUCAGCUUGUUGGUGGGGUAAUGGCCUACCAAGGCGGCGACGGGUAGCCGGCCUGAGAGGGUGGACGGCCACAUUGGGACUGAGAUACGGCCCAGACUCCUACGGGAGGCAGCAGUGGGGAAUAUUGCACAAUGGGCGCAAGCCUGAUGCAGCGACGCCGCGGGGGGGAUGACGGCCUUCGGGUUGUAAACUCCUUUCGCUAGGGACGAAGCUUUUUGUGACGGUACCUAGAUAAGAAGCACCUGCUAACUACGUG